rnacentral:rRNA from 1 species
UACGUAGGGUGCAAGCGUUAAUCGGAAUUACUGGGCGUAAAGCGUGCGCAGGCGGUGAUGUAAGACAGAUGUGAAAUCCCCGGGCUCAACCUGGGAACUGCAUUUGUGACUGCAUCGCUGGAGUGCGGCAGAGGGGGGAUGGAAUUCCGCGUGUAGCAGUGAAAUGCGUAGAUAUGCGGAGGAACACCGAUGGCGAAGGCAAUCCCCUGGGCCUGCACUGACGCUCAUGCACGAAAGCGUGGGGAGCAAACAGGAAUUAGAUACCCGUGGUAAGUCCG